rnacentral:rRNA from 1 species
ACCUGAGAGAGGUGAUCCGCCACACGUGACUGAGAACCGUCCAACUCUACGAGCAGCAUGGGGUAUUGCGCAUUGAGGAAUCUUGACGCAGCAACGCCGCGUGGAGGAGGAGUCUCGGAUGUAACUCCUGUCUUCUGGACGAUAUGACGUACCAGAGGAGGAAGCACGGCUAACUACGUGCCAGCAGCCGCGGUAAUACGUAGGUGGCGAGCGUGUCCGGAAUUACUGGGCGUAAAGGGCGCGUAGGCGGCUCUUAAGUCAGAUGUGAAAACCCAGGGCUUAACCUUGGGAGUGCAUUUGAAACUGAAGGGCUCGAGUGCAGGAGAGGUAAGUGGAAUUCCUAGUGUAGCGGUGAAAUGCGUAGAUAUUAGGAGGAACACCAGUGGCGAAGGCGACUUACUGGACUGUAACUGACGCUGAGGCGCGAAAGCGUGGGGAGCAAACAGGAUUAGAUACCCUGGUAGUCCACGCUGUAAACGAUGGAUACUAGGUGUGGGAGGUAUCGACCCCUUCCGUGCCGCAGUAAACGCAAUAAGUAUCCCGCCUGGGGAGUACGGCCGCAAGGUUGAAACUCAAAGGAAUUGACGGGGGCCCGCACAAGCAGCGGAGCAUGUGGUUUAAUUCGAAGCAACGCGAAGAACCUUACCAGAACUUGACAUCGUCUGCAUUACCCGUAACGGGGGAAAUCCUUCGGGACAGAUAGACAGGUGGUGCAUGGUUGUCGUCAGCUCGUGUCAUGAGAUGUUGGGUUAAGUCCCGCAACGAGCGCAACCCUUAUCAUUAGUUGCUACGCAAGGGCACUCUAAUGAGACUGCCGGUGACAAACCGGAGGAAGGUGGGGAUGACGUCAAGUCCUCAUGGCCCUUAUGGGUAGGGCUUCACACGUCAUACAAUGGUCGGUACAGAGGGUUGCCAAGCCGCGAGGUGGAGCCAAUCCCAGAAAGCCGAUCGUAGUCCGGAUUGUUCUCUGCAACUCGAGAGCAUGAAGUCGGAAUCGCUAGUAAUCGCGGAUCAGCAUGUCGCGGUGAAUACGUUCCCGGGUCUUGUACACACCGCCCGUCACACCAUGGGAGUGGAAUCUGGCAGAAGUAGGUAGCCUAACCGCAAGGAGGGCGCUUACCACGCUGGGUUUCAUGACUGGGGUGAAGUCGUAACAAGGUAGCCGUAAGUCGUAACAAGGUAGCCGUAAGUCGUAACAAGGUAGCCGU